AUUUCCGUAGGUGAACCUGCGGAGGGAUCAUUACCGAGUUUACAACUCCCAAACCCCUGUGAACAUACCUUAUUGUUGCCUCGGCGGAUCAGCCCGCGCCCCGUAAAACGGGACGGCCCGCCAGAGGAACCCAAACUCUAUUGUAUUUAGUGUAUCUUCUGAGUAACACAAACAAAUAAAUCAAAACUUUCAACAACGGAUCUCUUGGUUCUGGCAUCGAUGAAGAACGCAGCAAAAUGCGAUAAGUAAUGUGAAUUGCAGAAUUCAGUGAAUCAUCGAAUCUUUGAACGCACAUUGCGCCCGCCAGUAUUCUGGCGGGCAUGCCUGUUCGAGCGUCAUUUCAACCCUCAAACCCCCGGGUUUGGUGUUGGGGAUCGGGUCGCUAGUCGACCCGUCUCCGAAAUCUAGUGGCGGUCUCGCUGCAGCCUCCAUUGCGUAGUAGCUAACACCUCGCAACUGGAACGCGGCGCGGCCAUGCCGUUAAACACCCAACUUCUGAAUGUUGACCUCGGAUCAGGUAGGAAUACCCACUGAACUUAAGCAUAUCAAUAAGCGGAGGAAAU
rnacentral:rRNA from 1 species